rnacentral:lncRNA from 1 species
CUAACACUCACCACCUUUUAUUACAGUUAUUUGUAUCUUCUGGGGGUUCUGACUUAGAAGCAUUCGCUCAUGAUCCCUUGAGAGGUUUAUGACUGAAUGCCUAAUUUAUCUCUGAGUCCUCUACCUUGCACUUUACCUUGCACAUACAGGCCUUCGGCAAAUGUUUGCUGAAUGCUUGGAUUAAUGAAUACACUUCUGAACCCACCCAAGAGGGCGCCAGCAGGGACGUGCCCUUCCCGGGUGCCUAAUGGGACGCUGUUUCUCAACAGGACCCCCCAUCAUCUCCAGCACCCAGACCCAGCACGCCCUCCACGGCGAGAAGGGCCAGAUCAAGUGCUUCAUCCGGAGCACGCCGCCGCCGGACCGCAUCGCCUGGUCCUGGAAGGAGAACGUUCUGGAGUCGGGCACAUCGGGGCGCUAUACGGUGGAGACCAUCAGCACCGAGGAGGGCGUCAUCUCCACCCUGACCAUCAGCAACAUCGUGCGGGCCGACUUCCAGACCAUCUACAACUGCAC